rnacentral:misc_RNA from 1 species
GGAGGGAUCAUUACAGAAGGUCUAGCGCCUGAAAACCAUUGUGAACCGUUCCAUUUGCUGCCUCGGCGGGCGAUCCCAGGGCGGGAUCGCGGCCCCCACGGGGGCGCCCGCCGGAGCGCGACACCUCCAGCUCUGUAUUCCAGCGGGCUUCUGAGUGAAAAAAAAAACAAUCAAAACUUUCAACAACGGAUCUCUUGGCUCUGGCAUCGAUGAAGAACGCAGCGAAAUGCGAUAAGUAAUGUGAAUUGCAGAAUUCAGUGAAUCAUCGAAUCUUUGAACGCACAUUGCGCCCGCCAGCACUCUGGCGGGCAUGCCUGUUCGAGCGUCAUUUCGACCCUCAAGCUCCGGCUUGCCGUUGGGGCGCCUCGGUCCAGCACCGAGGGCCCCGAAUCUCAGUGGCGGAGCCGCCGUAGACUCUGAGCGCAGUACCUAACCACGCUCCUGGGCCCCGGCGGCGCCUGCCGUUAAACAACCCAACGCAAGUCUUGACCUCGGAUCAGGUAGGGAUACCCGCUGAACUUAAGCAUAUCAAUAAGCGGAGGAAAAGAAACCAACAGGGAUUGCCCCAGUAACGGCGAGUGAAGCGGCAACAGCUCAGAUUUGAAAUCUGGUCCUCGGACCCGAGUUGUAAUCUGUAGGGGUAGCUUCGGGCGCGGCGUCUUCUGAGUCCCCUGGAACGGGGCGCCAUAGAGGGUGAGAGCCCCGUACGGUCGACCGCCAAGCCCAUGUGAAGCUCCUCCGACGAGUCGAGUAGUUUGGGAAUGCUGCUCAAAAUGGGAGGUAAAUUUCUUCUAAAGCUAAAUACCGGCCAGAGACCGAUAGCGCACAAGUAGAGUGAUCGAAAGAUGAAAAGCACUUUGAAAAGAGGGUUAAAAAGCACGUGAAAUUGUUGAAAGGGAAGCGCCCGUGACCAGACUUGCGCCCGGCGGUUCCGCGUGCCUCCUGGCACGCGUACUCCUCCGGGCUCAGGCCAGCAUCGGUUUUCGCGGGGGGACAAAGGCGGCGGGAACGUGGCUCCCUCCGGGGAGUGUUAUAGCCCGCCGCGGAAUGCCCUCGCGGGGACCGAGGUUCGCGCUCUGCAAGGAUGCUGGCGUAAUGGUCAUCGGCGACCCGUCUUGAAACACGGACCAAGGAGUCAAACGUUUGUGCGAGUGUUUGGGUGUCAAACCCCUACGCGUAAUGAAAGUGAACGGAGGUGAGAGCCUUCUAGGCGCAUCAUCGACCGAUCCUGAAGUCUUCGGAUGGAUUUGAGUAAGAGCAUAACCGUUUGGACCCGAAAGAUGAUGAACUAUGCCUGUAUAGGGUGAAGCCAGAGGAAACUCUGGUGGAGGCUCGCAGCGGUUCUGACGUGCAAAUCGAUCGUCAAAUAUGGGCAUGGGGGCGAAAGACUAAUCGAAUCAUCUAGUGCUGGUUCACGC